rnacentral:rRNA from 1 species
AGAGUUUGAUCAUGGCUCAGGACGAACGCUGGCGGCGUGCCUAACACAUGCAAGUCGAGCGGAGUGUAGCAAUACACUUAGCGGCGGACGGGUGAGUAACACGUGGGCAACCUGCCUUAUACAGGGGGAUAGCCACCCGAAAGGGUGAUUAAUACCGCAUAACACUGAAGAGCCACAUGGCAUUUCAGUCAAAGGAGUAAUCCGGUAUAAGAUGGGCCCGCGGUCCAUUAGAUAGUUGGCGAGGUAACGGCUCACCAAGUCGACGAUGGGUAGCCGAUCUGAGAGGAUGACCGGCCACAUUGGAACUGAGACACGGUCCAGACUCCUACGGGAGGCAGCAGUGGGGAAUAUUGCGCAAUGGGGGAAACCCUGACGCAGCAACGCCGUGAGCGAUGAAGGCCUUCGGGUCGUAAAGCUCUGUCUUUUGGGACGAUAAUGACGGUACCAAAGGAGGAAGCCACGGCUAACUACGUGCCAGCAGCCGCGGUAAUACGUAGGUGGCGAGCGUUGUCCGGAAUUACUGGGCGUAAAGGGUGCGUAGGCGGAAACUUAAGUCAGAUGUGAAAUCCCUGGGCUUAACCUGGGAAUGGCAUUUGAAACUGGGUUUCUAGAGUGCAGGAGAGGAAAGCGGAAUUCCUAGUGUAGCGGUGAAAUGCGUAGAUAUUAGGAAGAACACCAGUGGCGAAGGCGGCUUUCUGGACUGUAACUGACGCUGAGGCACGAAAGCGUGGGGAGCAAACAGGAUUAGAUACCCUGGUAGUCCACGCUGUAAACGAUGAGUGCUAGGUGUGGGGGGUUUCGACACCCUCUGUGCCGCAGUAAACGCAAUAAGCACUCCGCCUGGGGAGUACGGUCGCAAGACUAAAACUCAAAGGAAUUGACGGAAUCUUUGACGGAAUCUCU